GAUGAACGCUGGCGGCGUGCCUAAUACAUGCAAGUCGAGCGAACAGAUAAGGUGCUUGCUCCUUUGACGUUAGCGGCGGACGGGUGAGUAACACGUGGGUAACCUACCUAUAAGACUGGAAUAACUCCGGGAAACCGGGGCUAAUGCCGGAUAACAUUUAGAACCGCAUGGUUCUAAAGUGAAAGAUGGUUUUGCUAUCACUUAUAGAUGGACCCGCGCCGUAUUAGCUAGUUGGUAAGGUAACGGCUUACCAAGGCAACGAUACGUAGCCGACCUGAGAGGGUGAUCGGCCACACUGGAACUGAGACACGGUCCAGACUCCUACGGGAGGCAGCAGUAGGGAAUCUUCCGCAAUGGGCGAAAGCCUGACGGAGCAACGCCGCGUGAGUGAUGAAGGUCUUCGGAUCGUAAAACUCUGUUAUUAGGGAAGAACAAAUGUGUAAGUAACUGUGCACGUCUUGACGGUACCUAAUCAGAAAGCCACGGCUAACUACGUG
rnacentral:rRNA from 1 species